rnacentral:tRNA from 1 species
GGGGCCGUAGCUCAGUGGUAGAGCACUCACCUGGCAUGUGUGGGACUCCAAGUUCAAUCCUCAGCACCA